AUGGCUUUUACAAGGCUCCUGGGCUGUU
rnacentral:sRNA from 1 species